UAUGUGAUCGUCUCUCGCAUAUCAAUAAGCGGAGGAAAAGAAACUAACAAGGAUUCCCCUAGUAACGGCGAGUGAAGCGGGAAGAGCUCAAAUUUGAAAUCUUAAAGGGUUUCCCUUUACGAAUUGUAGUUUAAUGAAGUGUUUUCUGUUGAGGUUUUGGUAAAAGUUCUUUGGAAUAGGACAUCAUAGAGGGUGAGAAUCCCGUAUUUGACCUUUACUUUCAACUUUGUGAUACACUUUCAAAGAGUCGGAUUGUUUGGGAAUGCAGUCCAAAAUGGGUGGUAAAUUUCAUCUAAAGCUAAAUAUUGGCGAGAGACCGAUAGCGAACAAGUACCGUGAGGGAAAGAUGAAAAGAACUUUGAAAAGAGAGUUAAACAGUACGUGAAAUUGUCAAAAGGGAAGCGUUUGACACCAGUGUUGUUUUUCUGAAAAUCAAUUAAAGAACUGUUUAUGCUAAGCUGUUUAGACUUUAUCAGCUAACUGUUUAGUUUUGAGCUUUUCUUUAAUGCACUUUUCAGUUAACAAGUCAACAUCAAUUUCUUUUGCUGUAAAAAAGCUUGAGGAAGGUGGCUUGAGAUUCGUCUUAAGUGUUUAUAGCCUCUUGCCUAUGCAGUCGGAGAGAUUGAGGUCUGCAGCGUAGAUCCUUCGGGGCUAAAUGCAUUUGUGCUAAGUUAUAGCAUUUUAUAGACAACUUGUUGACUAUGAUUUGUCUUGUAGCUUACUCGCUUAUGUUAUUUUACCUACGCUUAGGAUGUUGAGUAGCGACAUACGCAC
rnacentral:rRNA from 1 species